GUAGUGAAAAGGCACCCACGGAGGAAUGAGUAAUCGGGCUCUCAGGAUGGAGAGGGGCAGCGCUACCAGAAGAGGAGGGCAGCCGCUCUGAAUCAAAAAAUGCACAGCUGGGUUCAGGGGGUGGUUAGCCCUUCUGCCAGCUCUGCUGUGCUCCUGUUUCAGUGCCCAGCGGACUGGCAAAGUGCUCCGUGAGCACCGUGCUCGCUGUGCUGCAGCAAGUCCCCCGAGGGCAGCAUCACUGGCGGCUGGGCCGUGAUGCCCGCGGUGUUGAGCUGAUCUCUGCUUGCUGCUGUUUGGCAUCAUCCUUGUGGAUGUCUGGGCAGCUGACUCGUGAGCAUUUUCUGGUAAUGGUUGUAGCCGUGGGAUCCAAUGCCAGGACACCGGACACUGGUUUGGCACUGGGCUUGUGUUGUCCCCACCCCUCCAGCCGUGGAAAAGCUGCUGGGAUCCUCAAGAGCUGUACGCUGUAGACUGUUUAUGGCUGUUGGUUUGCGGGUGAUGUUUUAGGGUUUUGUUUUGUGACUGCCUGAGCCAGAAGGUGCCGCAGCUCUCGCUCCGGAGCACCACUCCCCUCCCCGCCCGUGGCUGCGGGGUCCUCCUCCUGCCUGGCAUCUUGACACCUUGGGCUUUGAUUAAUGAGGUGCUCUUCCCUGCGCUAUACGAAUCCCCGUUAGAUUUGGUGCUUAUUAAUUACAGCACAGCGCCGUCAGCACAUUUAGAAUUGGGGUCCCUGCUUUUCUAAUUCUCUUCUUAUUUCACAUGGCUUUUUUUUUUCCCCCCGGUUUCCCACCGCCCGUGCCGCCCCCUCCUCGGGGUCUCUGAUGGAUGAGGCUGCAGCGGACACCGCGCUGCUGGAGCCGAAGGUCAGCACUGGCAGCAGCUCUGCAGGACGUGGCUGCCCAGCUGCUCGCCCUGCUGCACUGCCCGGUCCUGGGGUCUCUGCUGCUGUGUCCUACAUCCCUCCUUGAUCUCCUAGAAGGUCUCCAGCCUUUCAUCGCUCAGGCUCAGCGUGUCCUGCAGUGCCCGGCUCUUUGUUUUGCUCUCGCCAAAUUAUUGAAGGCUGAACACGGGAGCGUUGCUCCAGACAAGCGCAGGCACACGCACGCAACCUGAGGAGUAGCAGGCGAGCACUUCUGCGGUAAUAAGCUCCAUGCUGUGCUCAAAAAGGGCACUUAAUUUUUCAUUCUUAAAUGCUGUGAUGUUCUUGUCUUCCGGCUUCACCAAAACUCCUCCAUGGAGAUGGAUGGGCCAUGCAGAACACAGUUAUCAGAAAGAUUAAGCCAGGACUUGUCAUUUUUUUAUAUCAGCGAGCAGUCAGGUUGACGAGUGAUGUCCUCUUCGCUCCUGGGAUGCGUCCGGCACCUUUAGUGCCAGUAGUAAAAAGGACUAUAAAAAAUACCAUAGAAGAAAGGGUAAUGAUGAAAUUUAACUGCUCCCUAGCACACACCUGGGGUCUAGUAAUCUGGAAAUGGGGGGUUCAGGUGCUUCAUCUUUUACUGCCUUGUCCUUGUCUGUAAGUUUAAGGUCCUUCCACUGAACCAGAACAUAUUGUGGUCAACGCCAAGAGCCGGUCCUUGGCCCCUGCGCAGCCCGGGGAGAGCAGCCGAGGCGCAGGCGCAGUAGCUGCAGGCUUUGCUUCCUGUGGGGGGGUUUGGGGGGGCUCUGGGGGGCUCAGCCCCUUGCUGCCAACAGUGGGGACAUCAGCGGCACAGCCGCUGCCUGGGCCAGCAAGGGGAAGGUGGACGAAGCACGCUGCGUGGCCCAAGUCAGCAAUACUUUGUUGUGUUUGGGGCUCGCGGCCCGUCCCCGUGUCAUUAAUCUAAGAAACAACUGAUACUAAAUGAUCAUGCUACAUUAAAUUUAUAGACCCUUGCAUAUAGCUUCUAUUGAUCUUUUUUCAAGCGUCAUAAAUAUGUGAUGGAGUGCACGUGGCGACGCUUCCCCCACCGCUCCGGCAGUGGUGGUUAAAGUUUUCAUCUCUGGCAGAACCGGGCGAUGCGUCUCUGCGGGCAGGGAUCUCCCGUCCACACCGUUUGGAUUUUAAUUACUCCUUUGUGGUGACCAAACGAGGCCUUGUCUUAGGUUCAGAAGAGCAGACUGUGAGUGUACAGACACUGACCAGUGCUGCCCAGUCGUUUUUGUGGUCUCUGGCAUUUGCCGUGGUGCCGCGGGCUCCGCGCUGUGCCAGGAGGCAUCGCGCCGUGCACGGCCCCAGGUGGCACGGGCUCCGUGGGUGCUCGGGGACAUGGAGCCUGCUCCCCCUCAGCAUCUGUAGGAAAUACCAGACCCUCAGGCACUGCUGUGACACAAACAAGGAAGGGAGAUUUGCAAAUCAUCCUUCAGCAUAGCCUGAAACAACUUAUAUCCUAGAGCCAUCUAGGGGCGAAAUCCCGGCUCCAUGAAGUCAGGGGGAGCUCUGCUGCUGCCGGUGGGGUCAGGACCUGGAAGGAGCGAUGUCCCCACGCCUGUGCUGCCCUGAGCAUCCCCCAGACCCAUGGCGCAGCUCCUGGCACGGUGAGUGUCAGUCUGCAGGUGCUGCCCAGCAGUGGACACCUGGGAGCAGCGGCGCUCGCAGCCAGGGCUCUGCUGCCGAACAAAGGCUGCGGAGAUCCGAGGAGCACCUUUGGGCUUUCUCCACCCUGCUGGUAGUUUGUGCUGGUUUUCAAGUGCAGAUCAAGAAACUGGUGCUUGAAAGAGCUGCAGCAAGGUGAGAGGUGCAGAGCCUAGAAGCUGCAUCUAAAAGAAUAUAUCAGAAAUGCCUGUGAUUAACUUCAGAAACACGAGCAGUUCUUGACUGAGCCCGGCCGUACAGGCCCUGGGAACACUCCCUGCUGUGCCUGCAGGGCGGCUGGGCAAUGGGGCCUGUCCCUGCCC
rnacentral:lncRNA from 1 species